rnacentral:rRNA from 1 species
GACGAACCGUCCAAACGUUAUUCGGAAUCACUGGGCUUACAGAGUUCGUAGGCGGUCUGGAAAGUUGGGUGUGAAAUCCCGAGGCUCAACCUCGGAACUGCCUUUGAUACUGGGGAUAUCGAGUCCGGGAGAGGUGAGUGGAACUGCGAGUGUAGAGGUGAAAUUCGUAGAUAUUCGCAAGAACACCUAUGGCGAAGGCAGCUCUCUGGGACGGUACUGACGCUGAGACGCGAAAGCGUGGGGAGCGAACAGG